GUUAAAACUUACAUAGCUAAAUAGCCCCAGGUCCCCUCUGGGACCCCUGCAAAAAGCGGUUUGAUCGGACAUACAGAGCCAGAGAUAUCAGCGUUGAAAGUCUGGGUCUCAAGGCUCUGUACAUCCACUAAAUCAGUUCCAUGGUGUUGCUUGGUUUAGUCCGGAGAAUUCAAACCAAGUAACAGCCAAUCAGCUGAAAUGGUGCGAAC